rnacentral:rRNA from 1 species
UACGAAGGGGGCUAGCGUUGCUCGGAAUUACUGGGCGUAAAGCGUGCGCAGGCGGUUCUCCAAGUCCGUUGUGAAAGCCCCGGGCUCAACCUGGGAAUGGCAGUGGAAACUAGGGGACUGGAAUCUGGCAGAGGGGGGUGGAAUGCCGCGUGUAGCAGUGAAAUGCGUAGAGAUGCGGCGGAACACCGAUGGCGAAGGCAGCCCCUGGGCUGAGCAUUGACGCUCAGGCACGAAAGCGUGGGGAGCAAACAGGG